ensembl:snRNA U6 U6 spliceosomal RNA
GUGCUUGCUUUAGAAGCAUAUAUACUAAAAUUGGAAUGAUACAGACAAGAUUAGCAUGGCCUCUGUGCUUGUGUGAGACACAAAUUUGUGAAGCAUUCUAUAGUUUU